CAAAACCCCUUGAGAGGAGCAGCACUUAAAUCAUUGAGAGUGGAGAAGCUAUAGUUGUACUAGUGCUGGUGGUGUCAUUCGUUCAUUAAAAGAAAGAGAUCGUGAGUCACUGUUUCGUUGUUAUCAUGGUGAUAGGUCAUCCGUGGAGAUUUGAGUGAGAAAGCUGAACCACCAUUGGAUAAUAGAACUUGAUCUAACAAAGAGGACAUGUUAUGACUGGAGAAGAAUAGAAGGAUGGGAAGAGAUCGGUUGUGACGAAGAAAAUGGAAGCGGUGAUGGAGGAGACGUCACGGAUCUUAACCGUUCAUCACCGGAACCAAUGGCUACGGAGACGAGACCGUUCAACGAUGAUGGCAAACCAGUGAUGAGUAUAUUUUGUAGCAGAUCAUAGAUGGUGG